rnacentral:rRNA from 1 species
UACAGAGGGGGCGAGCGUUGUUCGGAAUUACUGGGCGUAAAGGGCGCGUAGGCGGCCUGCUAAGUCGGAUGUGAAAUCCCUCGGCUCAACCGAGGAACUGCAUCCGAUACUGGCGGGCUUGAAUCCGGGAGAGGGAUGUGGAAUUCCAGGUGUAGCGGUGAAAUGCGUAGAUAUCUGGAGGAACACCGGUGGCGAAGGCGGCAUCCUGGACCGGUAUUGACGCUGAGGCGCGAAAGCUAGGGGAGCAAACGGG